AGAAAGAAGCAUGAGUGGUUUAGCAUGCGGUUGGCUUGAAACCAAUGUAUGAGGGUUCGAUUCCUUCCUUUCUUG
rnacentral:tRNA from 1 species